GUGGUUUCAGAGCUGAGGGGUGUGGGGCAGCACCGCCAGCCCAGUGUUUCCCUCUGCACCACAGGGACCAGAGCCCUGCCGGCCCCUGAGGCUGGACCCCACCUGGCUCCAGGCAGCCGGGCACUGGAGAGAUGAGGACUGUGUUGCCUUUGUAGGAAAGGCUUGCAGCUGUGGUUCAUUGGCUGCUGGCAGAGCUCUCUUCACUGAUUUGAGCACAACAAUACCUUCCCUGCAUGCCUUUCCAUUGCAAAGACAGGUUUUGCAGAAGAUUACUUAGGUUGCAAGGAAUUUUUCUAGUUUUGUGCUGAAGAGCAGCACAGAUGAGCACAGAGAUUAUGGGGGAAAAGCCAGUAUGAGCCAUUCCUAUUUGAAACUGGGGAAAAGCAGCCAGGAGUCAGAUGGACAAGGCUCCAGAUGGAUGGUGUGACUGAAAUAACACUUCAGCUGUACUCAUUUAGAUAACUAGAUGCGUGUCCAGAACACUUCCAGACUCAGCCACUAUGCACUGGAGGAUAGAAGGUAAAUUGCUAUAAUGGCUAGUGGCAAAGUUUUAUGUUGUGUUUCAUAUUUAGAUAAUGCAGAAAGCAAAUCCAGCACACGAGGGCAAAAGCAGUGCUGCCUGAACUAUCUAUAGCUUUACUAGCAGCACUUUGGUGCUUAUAAACCAGCCUCUGUCUUAAAUCAGGGAGAUACAUCAAAGCUCAGCUUUCCAUGGGAGAUGUGCAUCAGACAUAGUGUCAGC